rnacentral:rRNA from 1 species
GACAGAGGUGCCAAGCGUUAGGCGGAAUCACUGGGCUUAAAGCGUGUGUAGGCGGACCGUUAAGUGCUUUGUGAAAUCCCACGGCUUAACCGUGGAAUUGCUUGGCAUACUGGCGGUCUUGAGCCACCUAAGGGCAACUGGAACAAACGGUGGAGCGGUGAAAUGCGUAGAUAUCGUUUGGAACGCCAACGGUGAAAACAGGUUGCUGGGGGUGUGCUGACGCUGAGACACGAAAGCCAGGGGAGCAAACGGG